ensembl:lncRNA
ACAGAUGGAGAUUUAAUCAAAGAAGGGAUGGCCAUCACCGCAGAGACAGUUUUCAAAGACUUCAAAAACAAAAACGACAUUAGAACUGCACUUCGUGGUGUGCCGCUUGGCCCUGCGACAGUGACAAGAAGGGUUGAAUCACUGUCAGAGGACGUGGAUCGAAAAGUAUUGAAAGACUUGUCCCGCUGUGAAUAUUUUUCACUACAGUUCGAUGAAUCCCUGGAUGUAAUGAACACAGCCCAGCUUGUUGUAUUCGUCAGAAUGGCUUUCCAGGAUUCUACAACCAAUGAGGACUUCCUUACUCUUUUGCACUUAAAGGAGAGAACGAGAGAGGUGGCCGAGGCUUCAGGGCAGAAGAAGGCCUGCAGGUUCCGAGCCGUGCUGCCUUGGCUCCUCGUGGUUCUCCUCCUUGUGGUCGUCACAGGCCUCGGAAUCGCCCUCAAAGAAGAACAGGCCGAUAAUGUCAACCAAACCAGCACACUAAUGGAGGUCCUGGAGAAACUAUGUGAGCAAAUAGGUUGUACUGAUAAUUGGAUAAGUCUUCCCUGCCGUUGUUACUCCAUCUUCCCGCAAAUUGAAAGCCAAGACGGAAGUGAGAGCUGUGAGGAAAGCGGAAAAGAUUGUGUCUACACACAAGCCGACCUCGCCAGCAUAACCACUAGAGAGGAGCAGGAAAUUGUUUCUAGAUUGUCAUCUGACAAGCCAGCAUGGGUGGGUCUGAAGAGCGACGAUGAUGGAGUGUGGUGUUGGGUGGAUGGUACUCGUCUCCCCACUAAAAGUUGCGGGUGCGACAGCCCGGAAGAAGAACGCAGUGCUUUGAUGAAAGACAUCAACCCUACAGCUCAGAGACCUCUGAGAUGUUUCGCCUGCAGCUCCACACAAAACUGGAUCUGUGAGAAAAUAAUAGAAUGAGCUCACCAUGGCAGGGUACAGCCAACCAGCACACAGACACACUGGUGUGGAAAAUGGUAUCAUUUUAAUAACUUCACAGAUACAUUUGCUCAUCUUCUUUACUGUAUCACUGAUUCACUUAGAAAGCCCUUUGUGUAUAUAUUUAAGUUACGUAAUUUGCCGUCUACUUAAUACUUUGAACAUGUGCACAUUCCACGGUCCUAUUUUGCACAUUCAUGCAUAGCAGUAAAGCUUAUAUUUUAAAAAACAGACUGUUCUAAAUCUCUUUUAUAUUCCUCAGAUAUUCGCCAUAAUGUUUUCUUAAUGAUAAUGUUUCUAUUUAAUAGUUUUCUGCUUUCAGUGCUUGUGGCUUUUUUUCUUACUCUAUCCUAUUUUUGUUUGUUAUUGAUUGCACCAAAUACCAAGAAAAAUAAAACACAUUUUGAGG